UGAGGAUGCUGCAGACUCAUACAGAUUUGCCUCAGGAAUUGGCUCACAUGAUUGUCAAGUCUGAAAUCUGUGGAGCUGGUUGGCCGGAAAUUCAGGAAACCUGUUUGCUCUUAAAUUCUUCAACUGAUUGGAUCAGGCCCAUCCACAUUAUGGAGGGUGAUCUGUUUUACUUAAAGUCAAAUGGUUAUAAAUUUUACCACAUCUACAAAUAUCUUUACAGUGACAUCUAGACUAGUGUUUGACAAAACAC